GGUAGCUCAGUUGGUAGAGCGCCUGGUAUAUAUCCAGUAGGCCUGGGUUCAAACCCUAAGUACCA